CCUACGGGUGGCAGCAGUGAGGAAUAUUGGUCAAUGGACGAAAGUCUGAACCAGCCAUGCCGCGUGCAGGAAGACGGCUCUAUGAGUUGUAAACUGCUUUUGUACGAGGGUAAACGCAGAUACGCGUAUCUGUCUGAAAGUAUCGUACGAAUAAGGAUCGGCUAACUCCGUGCCAGCAGCCGCGGUAAUACGGAGGAUUCAAGCGUUAUCCGGAUUUAUUGGGUUUAAAGGGUGCGUAGGCGGUCGGAUAAGUUAGAGGUGAAAUCCCGAGGCUCAACUUCGGAAUUGCCUCUGAUACUGUGCGGCUAGAGAGUAGUUGAGGUAGGCGGAAUGUAUGGUGUAGCGGUGAAAUGCUUAGAGAUCACACAGAACACCGAUUGCGAAGGCAGCUUACCAGGCUACUUCUGACGUUGAGGCACGAAAGCGUGGGGAGCAAACAGGAUUAGAUACCCCUGUAGUC
rnacentral:rRNA from 1 species